AAGUGCUCAUUGUACAUGUGUGAAGAGAAGUACAGCAGAGAUUUGGACCAAUACUAUGACGCUUGGUCCAUUUUCUCUUCUAUCUAUAUGAAGUGAUGUUAACACAAAGAUUGGUUUCUGAAUGUGUGAGCGUUUUAAAUUGUCUUUGUUGAUGUUUUCUGUUUCUAUUGCACUUUGUGUGUUUAUGGAGCUAAACGACCUGCAACUCCAACGUUGUCCGCCUCGCGGCGUGUCGCUGUUCCCCCUGGAGCUCUUCUGCCGGACGACGAGCGAGGAAGAAGUUAGUCGCCAUCUUGGAUCAUCGGCAAACUUAACAUAAUUACUGACUGAAGUGAGUUUGUAAGAUGUCUGGCUGCGCUCCAACGGUGUUUUCGUGCUUUACACACACCUUUCCUUUAGGUUUCAUGUCCCAGACUAUCACUGAAAAUGUUAUCUGCCCUCUGGUGCGUUGAUUUAGUUUAACGUCCUUCCAUUAAGCAUCUUUAAUUCUUCUUGUUGAUGGCUGUUAGUCAAGUGACAGAGCUCUGAAUGACUUGUCUAAUAAUUUUCAAGGUGCUCAAAUAUCAUUCGGUAGUACAGAAGUUGAUAUCAGUUAAACUCUGAACAUAGCAAACAUAGCAUUUUGAAUCAGGUUAUCAGUAACACCUGCAAUACAACACUCAAAGAAAAAAAAACAAAGAGCUAGCUUGUGUGACUUCAACUCUCCGUUUAGCUACAGGUUUGGCUGAGUGGAUUUUCAUCAAGGAGCACUUCUCUCUGCUGGAAAGAUGCCAGUGAAAUUUCGCAAGACAGAUCCUUGGACCUUUCUGCGCAGACAUCGACCCUGAAUAAAGGCGUUGUGAACUUGAGGAUGAUAAAGAGAAACGGACAGCAAUGGGGCUUCCUUUGGGCCAGAACCCUGCACAUUAAGACCAGCGUAUCGCGGCGCACGGAGGAAGGCUGGAGUGAGAGGGGGAGGAGUGAGGGAUGGCUGAUGGGACAGGAUUGGUGGCAACGGAGGGGAGGAGUACGUCAGUGUUUGCCCAUCAGCACAUCUUUGCUGACAGCCGUCGGCCUGUCUGUCAGCAGUGGCCAGUGGCCUGGACACUGUCACCAAUACCGAAGGGCCACCGCCAGACCCGCGUGAGCCUCCCAAGGUUCACUGCACAAAUCCCCUUCUGUGCCAACCAGUCCGUUGAUACACACCAACUAUCUGCCCCGCCGCUCUCUGUGUGGUCCUCAUCUGUGCUUUGACAAAGAGAAAGAGGAAACGGCUUUGCCGUUUGGCACCCACUGGCUUUCCUACUGAAAACGGCAGUGGACAAAAUAAAGGACAUAACCUGGGUGCAGCGAGCAGAUAGCAUUCAUCACAACCAAUCAGAAGAGCUGGUUGAGUUUGUUAUUGGAGCUCUGAUUUUGGACCAGGGGUGCUCACACACUCAGCGUUUGUAUACUGCAGAUGGAGAUCCUGAGUUUCCCUGUGCAGGCCGGGAGCCAGGCAGGGCUGAGCCACCGGGAGCAGACAGCAGCCGAUUGAGAAUGUGAGGAAACAGAUCAGUCUGCCUGGCUACAAGCCCCACCGUAGUUUGGUAUGUGAGUGAUGAUUGGUGGAUUUUGUGCGUGGGACAUGGUCAUAUACACACUAGGGUUGCAGCGGUAUGUUGGUUUUCAGGUAUAC